UUCCUUUCACUGCAUCUCAGCUGCCACCAACGCUUCCUAACUCUGAUUUCCUGUCUCCUCGUAUUCUCAUCUACCCCACAUUAUAAGCUAGCAUGAUUUUUCUAAAGUAUAGCUCUAAUUAUAGGAUCGGCUGGAUUAGAAACAUCAUCCAUUAUCUCUUAAACUAGUGACUAGCCCAGCGUUCAACACAUUUCAAACUCCUCCUCCACCCUCCUUCCCCUGACUCCUCUCUCUGCACAGAUCCUCCCACUUGGAUCAGGUCACAGAUGGCCUAGAUGGGACCUUCCAUAAUUUGAGUCCCUCCUCUUUUAAACCCUGAAGGACUUUGGUUGUUAUUUCUCAUGUGGCAUGUAUUUCAAUCUGCUUUCUUUAAAAAAAAACAAAAAACCUUCUUUCUCUUACUGUCCCCAUUAGAUGUUAUGAUUUUUUAGACCAGAAAUUGUAUGAGUUAGAAAACUAGAGCUGUUUCUCUUUAGAAACAAAAGGAGACAAACAUAGUAUUUCGGGUUCAUUUUUGAUAUAAAUUUCUCAGGGCUGAGGUACACUGACUCAAAGAUCUUCCUUCUCCACGAGACCCUCAACUUCUGUAGGUAACUUCACUGCAGACAGAGACAGAGGGAGGAAAUCUGCCGGAGGUCCCCAAACUAUGCAGCUGCGUGGGCCGAGAGCAGGCAUCUGGGAUCCCAGCUUCCCAACAAGAGAUCGAAGCCUCACCCUCUGCAUUGGAAAGCGAAGCCUGAAGCAUCGAACCACCAGAGAAGCACCUCUUCUAAGAUUUUUAAGGAACCCCCACAAUGACCCUCCUAGAGGCUGUUACCGCUGACAUGGCCGCCAGAAGCCGGGGGUCUCCCUUUCAUCCCCUCCCACUCCUGUAUUUCUUCUUCGUGAUUUUUGGGAGGAGGGCCGCUCUGAACGGUGCCACAGGGGCAGCUCAUUGUACUGCUGACUGGCAUUUACCCCAAAAUCAGUGAUGUUACAACUCUUUUCAUUUUCUUAAUUUCUUAAACAAUGUGAGUAAAAUUUAACUCUUGAAACUGGUUUCUUAAGUCUUUCUCUAUUUGAAGUCGUUUUCAAUUACCGUCAGUAUUUUUGUGAGGGCACCUGUCAUUUAAGGCACGGCAGACCUAGUACACAGAAGUGCCUGUAAGCACCAGUAUAAGAGUUGCUGCUAGGAAAAAUGGCCAGAAGGUUGCAGAAUUUCCUUUAGCCCGUUUUGCGGUCUCAGGAAAAGUGAGCCAUAGAGAAAGUCUCGUUUGUGACAUGGAAGUCAGAGUGGAACACACCUGACCAAACAACCACCGGCUUGAGGCUCACUAUGUCCUCCUCGAUACUGUCAUCCCUGAGUAAAUUGCAAUCCCAGGAAAACCACCUGUUAGGACCCUGUGAGCAGGAGGUGGAACCAGAGGAAGGAUGGAGGUGGGAACCCCUGCGAAAGGACCCAUGGAGAUGAGGUAACAUUCCAGUUUUAUCGGAAGAAAGACAGUUCACCAUGAUUCCGGUGUCCAAGGACAGCCUCAGCUGUAGAAGGACAUUAAUGGACAACAGUAUGUGGUAGCGAGCACAGGAAACAGCCAGCGCAUCCAAUGGGGGGCAUUGUUGGUGCAUCCUCCCAGCUCCCUCAGCAGAAGGACAGACCAAGAAAUGGACCAAACACGAACAGACUGAAGCAAGGAAGAGUGACGGUGUUAUGAGUCCAGACAAAAUGGAGUCUUCAGCAUACUUCUUUUUAACUUAAUAAAUACUUUUACAAUACCGAAUAUAUGACUUUAAAGGUUCUGAUAAGUUCAAGACCAACUUGAUUAGAACUCCAUAUAUAACUAAAUAAAUUUCUUCUACCUAAAACUAAAAGCAAUGUAAAACUAUUAUAUUUCCAUGAAAAAAAAUUACAUGGAAAGGAGAAAAUGAAGAAAAAAUGACCACUCUCGUCCACCCGGGUCUCGGUGACCUGGGUGGUGUCAUAGCCCUGGGGACCCAGCAGCCUAGAUCUAUGGGCUGGACACUACGGGGCUUGGGGCAUCAAGGAGGGCUGCCAGGACAUGAGCCCCUUGCUGCCUCUACAGCGCCUGGGCCCCUCUGGAGCAGACCACAGCUGACCAGUCAGGCACACUGGCACCUACACCCGGCUACUGCACCCCCAAAAUCCCGGACACCUGGGCUGGCAGCAC